UCAACCUAACCUUUGUAUGGGAGGUGGGUGUGGUUAUUAUCCGAUUUCUUUCAUUUUUGGACUGUAUAAGGAAACGGCUAAAGCAAACGACUGCAGAAAGCGAGUUAUAUACAAAAAACAUAUUUGAGGGCGGAGUCAUGCCCACUUUUCCAAAAAAAAUUACAUCCAAAUGUGCCCCUCCCUAAUACGAUCCUAUGUUCACAAAUUUUAUUUUCAUAACUUUAUUUAUAGCUUAGUUAUGACACUUUAUGUGUUUUUGGUUUUCGCCCAUUUGUGGGCGUGGCAAUGGUCCGAUUUUGCCCAUUUUCGAAAGGGUGCCAAGGAAUACGUGUUCCAAGUUUCGUUAAGAUAUUUUAAUUUUUACUCAAGUUAUCCGUUGGACGGACAGACGGACGGACGGACGGACAGACAGACAUUCGGAUUUUGACUCGUCUCGUCACCCUGAUCAUUUUGAUAUAUAUAACCCUAUAUCUAACUCGUUUAGUUUUAUGACUUGCAAACAACCGUUAGGUGAACAAAACUAUAACACUCUCUUAGAAACUUUUGUUGCGAGAGUAUAAAAAUAAAAGCACACCAAGAGAAAUAAUAUGAAUUUAUGCAAAACCAUUGGCUUUCAGUUAAUAAAAUUUAGUUCUGUAAUUGCAAAGCUUGGCUUAUAAUAGGAAGAACUUUUGGUGGUCAUCAAAUGAAGGUCUACUAUAAACACUCCGAAAUAUACUAAUAUGUUCUCUUUAUUAUUUUUGUCAGCAUAUAUUAAGAAUUAUUUUUUAGUUCGAUAUGGUUUAAAAGCGUGUUUUUAUUUUUUUUUUUUAAAUAUAUUUAUUAAAUGUAUAAAAGAGAGAUGCACGUACUACAAUGAACCGUUAAAAAGUCGCCGCCAUUCAUUUGAAAAGAAAUUUUGGUGUGAAUGAACGUAAGUGCGUAUUAAUAAUUUGUUACUGAUAUUAUAUUAUGCCACUGGAGGCAGAUUUGUGAGUUGAUAAUAUUAAACCUUAUAGGUUUGUAUAUACUAUAACAUGAAAUCUUUUGUUUGAAUAUACGUUCAUAUUAAACUUACUAUUAUCUUCUUAUUAUCCUUUUCAGAAAUUUGCAAAAUUCGGAAGAAAAACUUAAGUGUAAGUUGGAUACCACCUUGGCAGGCUAACUGCUAUAGACAAGCCAAUCGAACAAGCUUUCCAAAUUUUCAUACAAACUGGCAGCACUGAAAUCGAAUUGUCUUUACUUGGUCGCACUGAACUCUUCUACCACCGCCCAUGUCUUACGUUUUCUACAACAAAUUUAAAUUUUAUUAAAAUUUUUUAUUCAAUAAAUUUAAUACAAAAAUACUGACGAUUCAUCUUCGCCUGCCAUUUUCAAUUUCAAAUUUGUGUAUAACAAUUUUUAUUAUUUUGACAGUGAUUUGUCCUUUGAGCCGUUCACAAUAGUAAAAUGGUUCCAAAAUGUGUAAAACAAAACUUGGUAGCACUCAGCAAGCGGCAAUUGAAAUUUUAAUGAGGUAUUCGCAUACUCUCCUGCUCGAAUUCAACUAGAUAACUUUGUUGUUGCUUUUAUAUGUAAAAUUUUUGACUGGCAAGAUAGCGAACAGAGAAGUGACAGCUAAACUAUAGUAAAACAAUAGCGACUCUAGGCAGAGGAUUCAUGGAAACAGAUUGCAUUAAUAUACACCAACAUUGCAAUAAUAAUAAUAAAAUAGUAAUGGAUGCUUAUGGUGAUAACAAUCAACAGAAUCCGCAAAAACAAAGUAGAGAUAAAGUAUUAUUCCCAUGAAGGAAGAAUCCUACCAGCAGCUCUUCAACUUAUACAACGGCAAUUGCCUUUCAAUCGUACAAUACACAUUCGAACUCAAAUACGCCGUAUGAUCGAGAAGCACUCAUAUUCUUUUGCCCAUUGUGUCAGGAAGUAACCAAAAUCGUGCACCUAUAAAUACAACACAAAAUAUACUACAACAGAUAUUAUUGAAAUUACGAAUAUAGACAAUUUAAUUAUUUCUAACCAACUAUACAUAUUUUCAGGCAUUGGACAAUGUACAACAAAUUAUGUCGGACUUUUGGAGUAGCAGUUUCACUACUUAUUUUCCACAUGCUAAACACAGUAUCUCCUAUGAUGUUCCUGGAUCUAGAUCAUAAAUGCCUUAACUUUACUGUCUUUAAACAGCUUAAAAUCUUAAAUUUAAUACAUAACAUCAAACAACAUUCAUAACUGUAAGGCAUUUCGCGCAGUGCCCUUUUUAGACAACAGCACGACUUCGCGACAGCAGACUUGAAGUUGUCGCUGUCGCCAAAUUAGAAAUGUUUCUAAUGUUAGAAAUGUUUCUAAUUUUGUCGACUCUACAGCGGCCGAGUUGCCACUAUUAUGUGCAAUGUCAAAAUGUUUAAAGUUCUAUCAAGUGUUACGUUAUUAUGCCAACAGAAGUACAAUAUUGCUUUGAUAUAGGAACGGAUUUUCAAAAUCUGUUGUUUACUCUAAAACUCUACCCUGAGUUCGAUCACUGGAUUGUCAAAUAAAAGCCACACUUUAAUGGCUACACACUAAUCUUUAUUUAUAAUUCCUUAUAACUUAACACUUUAUUACUCAAAACUCUACUUUACAACUCUAACUUGUAACUUGUUUACACUUUACUCGACAACUCUCUCAUUAGAACUGAGUGUUGCCGCUAGUCCGGCAGCCCUUAUAUAGUCGAUUGUAAGCGAUACAUCGCCACUCGAACAUUCUGGCAACUACGAAUAUCGAUGUCUAGAUACAUCUGGCAAGUUAUCGAUUUCAAUUGUCAAUUCUAGUUUGUUCUGGUGUCAUUUUCGUUACAAUACCAACACAAUAAGAUUGAUUCUUCAAUUUUUCUAAGGCUUUCGUGAUUUUCAAAAAUUCUCGGUUGGCACCUUUGUGCGUCUCAUUGCGCCUCCUGCUGCUUCAAUUGUGUAGACACCUGUGCUGAAACCUGCGAUGGUAUACACUCUCCAUGCACUUGCAUCUGUGUUAACACUUCUGCUCUAUUUAAGGUCACAUCCAUAUACUCGUCCUCCUUCAACUGUGAGGACACCCCAUUCACUUCCAACUGGGAUAACAAAAUCUAUCCAUGCGCUUCCAAAGGUCUUGGCAUACACGUCUCUUUCACUUCCAAAUAUGUGGACGUAUUCUCCCCAUGCUCUUCCAGCUGUCUUAAUAUGUCUGCUCUAUUUGAGGACACUUCCAUUAUACAACACAAUAUAUCAUUUGUAAUAACAAUCCUCUACAAGACGGAGCUAACUCAUACACCACUAUACAUGUAAAGUUUUUCAGGUUUUACCAACACAUACACAAUAGUAACUUUUUGUAGUUAAAUGGCAAUCUCGGUAGUUAGAGUAGCAACAUUCAUUAACCCUAAUUUUUGUAUGUAUAAGACAGAGAUGCACAUGGCCGCCAUUCAUAUGAAAAGAAAAUUUGAAGUGAAUGGAUAGCGGUACUAUGUUUGACUGGGUGCUGCAGCGUAUUUUAAUUGAAUAUAACUGCAGAAAAUGGUCUCGAAAGGCAAAGCGGGCUGCAACGCACAUCUGGUGCGUACAUGCAAAACUAAAAAGAGAAGCAGAACAAUGAUUAUGCCACUUUAGGCAGAUGGGUGAGUUGAUAAUUUCAAACCUUAUAUAUAUAUUUGAAAACUUCGGAAGAAAAACUAAAGCUGAAGCUGGAUACCACCGAUAUACUCCCAUAUAGGAAGGUAGCUAUACUUGGUAUGGGUGCGGGGAAUCCUACUAGCAGUUCUUCAAGACAUACAACGGCAAUCGCUCAUCAAUUGUACAAUACAAAUUCGAAUUAGAAUUCGACGUAUGAUGGAAGCAGCACUCGUAGCCCUUUGUGUCAGGAAAUAACAAAAAUCAUGCACCUAGAAAUACAACACAAAAUAUGCUACAACAACAGAGUUGGUAUUAAUAUUUCCAUGCUUAUAAUAUUGGUGGAUAAUCGCCACAUGGUGUAACAAGUGUAGCAGCAACAACAAAUAAUACAUAUUCAAAUUCGCAACAAAAGUCAAAAUCGCACAACGCAACCGGCAAAUAAUAAGGUAUCGGAUGAUGUACAACAAAGUACAUCGGAACUUUUGGAGUAGUAGUUUCACUACUUAUUUUCGACGUGCUAAACACAGAGUCUCCUAUAUUGCCCUUGGAUCUACACAAUGGAUAGUUAACAUAACAACAAAGCUCGAAAAAACAAUAAACGCAGAAUUUGUUUAUCCUACUUCUGAUUUGACUAUGCUGAACUUACCGUUUAUCAUUUUCAAUAUUAUGAUUGUUAAUUUAUAAAUUAAAUUAAUAUCUAUAUACAAAUGAAUGUACGAAUAUUUGUAACAAUCGUAACAGUAGUGAAAUUGAAUUUGUAUUGUAUAACAACACAAAAAAACAAUACUUAAAACUUUUGAGAUAUUGUAAAUUAUAAAAAUUUAUUAAUUCAUACUAACUUUAUAUAUAAAAUAGGUACAUUUUUUCAAUGUAUAAAUGAUAUCUACAAAAAUGUUUG